AAGCGUGAUUUGCAUGAGCAGCGUGUAGUUUCUGUUCUCUGACAGACUUGCUUAUUCCCAUUCUUGUGGUCAGUUACGAUAAUUUAGUGAUAUUUCCGUCAUUUAUAUCAGUUGAAAUCCUUCGUGACAUGAUUUGAUUGUGAGACAUUGUAACUGUAAGGCAUCGUGAUUCAUGCUCUUUCCUUCAAGUCAUUGGUGGGUUGUCAUCUUGUACGAGUGAUUAUCACCCUCUAUUCUUUGUACAUGAGUAUCCUGUUAUUCCCAGGAACCAAAAUAUACACAAGUCCAUUACUGACUUUCUAGUCGUUACAGUCAGCUGCUUACAACAGCUGAUGCACCCACUCAUUUCCAGGUUCUCGUCUAGUGAGAACAGGCCAGAAGCCCUGGCGACCAAUCUGCUGAGUUGAACGAACUGUGGAUACCUGUGGGAUACCACUGUUUUCAUAGCCCAGAGUAACUUGGCCUUAGUAACGCGUCAGUGAUGAUAAAGGGAAAAAGACGUUCUUUGGUUAAUAGUUUAUUACCAUUUUUAUUGAUUCGCGAAGGAGAUGAAACUUCGCUUCGUUGGCCAUCAAGCGUAAUAAUAGCUGUUGUUGACGGAACUUCGGUAUCCUCUUGCUGAAUUAAAAACACAUUGGAAAUUGGCGUUUUCAUUUUGAGAAGAAUUUGAGAGAAUUUGAGCUUUUUUCUCUGAAGCUCUAUGACGUUCUUGUGUUUUUGUUAUUCUCGUGGCUUACCAAGGCACCUCUGCCGAUGUUGCUCAGACUAAAUGUUGUGUUGCAUGGAUGACAACAAGCAUUGUUGGAGUUCUUCGGUUCUUCUCUUACCCAUGAAGAUUUUGGGGCCAGUUCUUUUGAAAAAAAGUUUUUUUUUCUGGUGUUUUUUUUCUGUUAA